rnacentral:rRNA from 1 species
UACGUAGGGUGCAAGCGUUAAUCGGAAUUACUGGGCGUAAAGCGUGCGCAGGCGGUUAUGUAAGUCAGAUGUGAAAUCCCCGGGCUCAACCUGGGAAUGGCAUUUGAGGCUGCAUGGCUAGAGUGUGUCAGAGGGGGGUAGAAUUCCACGUGUAGCAGUGAAAUGCGUAGAUAUGUGGAGGAAUACCGAUGGCGAAGGCAGCCCCCUGGGAUAACACUGACGCUCAUGCACGAAGGCGUGGGGAGCAAACAGG